AGAGUUUGAUCCUGGCUCAGAAUCAACGCUGGCGGCGUGCCUCAGACAUGCAAGUCGAACGCGAAAGUUUCCUUGGGGGAGCGAGUAGAGUGGCGCACGGGUGAGUAACACGUAGGUAAUCUACCUUUGGAUGGGGAAUAACAACCGGAAACGGUUGCUAAUACCGCAUGAUGCAGCGGCACCUAAUGGUGACAGUUGUUAAAGCGGGGGAUCGAAAGACCUCGCGUCUGAAGAGGAGCCUGCGGCGGAUUAGCUAGUUGGUAGGGUAACGGCCUACCAAGGCAACGAUCCGUAGCCGGCCUGAGAGGGCGGUCGGCCACACUGACACUGACAUACGGGUCAGACUCCUACGGGAGGCAGCAGUCGGGAAUUUUGGGCAAUGGGCGAAAGCCUGACCCAGCAACGCCGCGUGAAGGAUGAAAUCCCUCGGGAUGUAAACUUCGCAAGAACGGGAAGAAUAAGUAGGGGACAAUACCCCCUAUGAUGACGGUACCGUUUGUAAGCUCCGGCUAACUCCGUGCCAGCAGCCGCGGUAAUACGGGGGGAGCAAGCGUUGUUCGGAAUUACUGGGCGUAAAGGGCUCGUAGGCGGCCAACUAAGUCAUACGUGAAAUCCCUCAGCUUAACUGGGGAACUGCGUGUGAUACUGGAUGGCUUGGAUUUGGGAGAGGGAUGCGGAAUUCCAGGUGUAGCGGUGAAAUGCGUAGAUAUCUGGAGGAACACCGGUGGCGAAGGCGGCAUCCUGGACCAAUAUUGACGCUGAGGAGCGAAAGCUAGGGGAGCAAACGGGAUUAGAUACCCCGGUAGUCCUAGCCCUAAACGAUGAAUGCUUGGUGUAGCGGGUAUCGAUCCCUGCUGUGCCGAAGCUAACGCAUUAAGCAUUCCGCCUGGGGAGUACGGUCGCAAGGCUGAAACUCAAAGGAAUUGACGGGGGCCCGCACAAGCGGUGGAGCAUGUGGUUCAAUUCGACGCAACGCGAAGAACCUUACCCAGGCUUGAACUGCGAGUGACCACGCCCGAAAGGGCGCUUCCGCAAGGACACUCGUAGAGGUGCUGCAUGGCUGUCGUCAGCUCGUAUCGUGAGAUGUUGGGUUAAGUCCCGCAACGAGCGCAACCCUUGUCCUCUGUUGCCAUCACGUUAUGGUGGGCACUCUGAGGAGACUGCCGGUGAUAAACCGGAGGAAGGUGGGGAUGACGUCAAGUCAGCAUGGCCUUUAUGUCUGGGGCUACACACGUGCUACAAUGGCCGGUACAAAGCGUCGCAAACUCGCGAGGGGGAGCUAAUCGCAGAAAGCCGGUCUCAGUUCGGAUUGUAGGCUGCAACUCGCCUGCAUGAAGUCGGAAUCGCUAGUAAUCGCGGAUCAGCAUGCCGCGGUGAAUACGUUCCCGGGCCUUGUACACACCGCCCGUCACAUCACGAAAGCCGGCUGCACUAGAAAUCGCCGCGCUAACCCGCAAGGGAAGCAGGCGCUUAAGGUAUGGUCGGUGAUUGGGGUGAAGUCGUAACAAGGUAACC
rnacentral:rRNA from 1 species